rnacentral:rRNA from 1 species
GAUGAACGCUGGCGGCGUGCCUAAUACAUGCAAGUCGAGCGAACAGACGAGGAGCUUGCUCCUCUGACGUUAGCGGCGGACGGGUGAGUAACACGUGGAUAACCGACCUAUAAGACUGGGAUAACUUCGGGAAACCGGAGCUAAUACCGGAUAAUAUAUUGAACCGCAUGGUUCAAUAGUGAAAGACGGUUUUGCUGUCACUUAUAGAUGGAUCCGCGCCGCAUUAGCUAGUUGGUAAGGUAACGGCUUACCAAGGCAACGAUGCGUAGCCGACCUGAGAGGGUGAUCAGCCACACUGGAACUGAGACACGGUCCAGACUCCUACGGGAGGCAGCAGUAGGGAAUCUUCCGCAAUGGGCGAAAGCCUGACGGAGCAACGCCGCGUGAGUGAUGAAGGUCUUCGGAUCGUAAAACUCUGUUAUUAGGGAAGAACAAAUGUGUAAGUAACUAUGCACGUCUUGACGGUACCUAAUCAGAAAGCCACGGCUAACUACGUG